GCUCAGGACGAACGCUGGCGGCGUGCCUAAUACAUGCAAGUCGAGCGGAGUUGAAGAGAAGCUUGCUUCUCUGAUACUUAGCGGCGGACGGGUGAGUAACACGUAGGUAACCUGCCUAUAAGACUGGGAUAACAUUCGGAAACGGAUGCUAAUACCGGAUAUGCAUUUUGAUCGCAUGAUCGGAAUGGGAAAGACGGAGCAAUCUGUCACUUAUAGAUGGACCUGCGGCGCAUUAGCUAGUUGGUGAGGUAAUGGCUCACCAAGGCGACGAUGCGUAGCCGACCUGAGAGGGUGAUCGGCCACACUGGGACUGAGACACGGCCCAGACUCCUACGGGAGGCAGCAGUAGGGAAUCUUCCGCAAUGGACGAAAGUCUGACGGAGCAACGCCGCGUGAGUGAUGAAGGUUUUCGGAUCGUAAAGCUCUGUUGCCAGGGAAGAACGCUAUGGAGAGUAACUGCUCCAUAGGUGACGGUACCUGAGAAGAAAGCCCCGGCUACUACNCGNGUA
rnacentral:rRNA from 1 species